rnacentral:rRNA from 1 species
UACGUAGGGUGCAAGCGUUAAUCGGCAUUACUGGGCGUAAAGCGUGCGCAGGCGGUUCCAUAAGACAGAUGUGAAAACCCCGGGCUCAACCUGGGAACUGCAUUUGUGACUGUGGGGCUAGAGAACGGUAGAGGGGGAUGGAAUUCCGCGUGUAGCAGUGAAAUGCGUAGAUAUGCGGAGGAACACCAAUGGCGAAGGCAAUCCCCUGGACCUGUACUCACGCUCAUGCACGAAAGCGUGGGGAGCAAACAGG